GAUACCCUGGUAGUCCACGCCCUAAACGAUGUACACUAGUUGUUGGGAUGCUAGUCAUCUCAGUAAUGCAGCUAACGCAUUAAGUGUACCGCCUGGGGAGUACGGUCGCAAGAUUAAAACUCAAAGGAAUAGACGGGGACCCGCACAAGCGGUGGAGCAUGUGGUUUAAUUCGAAGAUACGCGAAGAACCUUACCUGGGCUUGAUAUCCUAAGAACCUUAUAGAGAUAUGAGGGUGCUAGCUUGCUAGAACUUAGAGACAGGUGCUGCACGGCUGUCGUCAGCUCGUGUCGUGAGAUGUUGGGUUAAGUCCCGCAACGAGCGCAACCCACGUAUUUAGUUGCUAACGGUUCGGCCGAGCACUCUAAAUAGACUGCCUUCGUAAGGAGGAGGAAGGUGUGGACGACGUCAAGUCAUCAUGGCCCUUAUGCCCAGGGCGACACACGUGCUACAAUGGCAUAUACAAUGAGACGCAAUACCGCGAGGUGGAGCAAAUCUAUAAAAUAUGUCCCAGUUCGGAUUGUUCUCUGCAACUCGAGAGCAUGAAGCCGGAAUCGCUAGUAAUCGUAGAUCAGCCAUGCUACGGUGAAUACGUUCCCGGGUCUUGUACUCACCGCCCGUCACACCAUGGGAGUUGAUUUCACUCGAAGCCGGAAUACUAAACUAGUUACCGUCCACAGUGGAAUCAGCGACUGGGGUGAAGUCGUAACA
rnacentral:rRNA from 1 species